UCCAACGACCUGAUAAAUUCAUAUCUCUCUUUUGAUUCAUCCCUCUCCUAGUUUCAUCAACUAGCAUUCGUCUAAACUUUUUGACUCUCUUGAGUAGAGAUCGAUGGCUGAAUUUCUCACUUUUGGGGCUCAAGAAUUGCUGAGCAAAGUGGCUUCACUAGCCGCUCAAGAGUUCGAUCUUGUAUGGGGAUUCAAUGGAGAAAUAACAAAGCUGCGUGAGUCGGUGCUCAUGCUUGAGGCUGUGCUACGAGAUGCUGAACAUCCGCGACAAGAUCAGGGAGAUGCUGUGAAGCUCUGGGUGAAGAAGCUUGAAGACAUAGCUCAGCAUGCCGAUGAUGUGCUGGAUGAUUAUGGAUAUGAGCUUCUCCGGCGUAGGGUGCAACUGCAAAAUCAGAUGAAGAGAAAGGUGCAGAACUUUUUUUCCCACUCCAAUCCCAUCUUUUUUCGUGUUAAAAUGGCACAUAAAAUUAAGAAGAUCAACACAUCCUUGGAUGAGUUGAAUAAGAAGGCUAGUGCUAUUGGCUUAUUUGCUAGACUAUCCUUAGAUCCAACAACUUCCCAUGGUAUAAGCAUUGACAGGGAAACCUACUCUAUCUUAAAACAAGAUGAAAACAACAUCAUUGGAAGGGACGAUGUUGUGGCAGAUAUAGUUCAAGCCUUGACCAAAUCAAACCACAAUCUGGAAAGUGAUCUCUCCGUUCUGGCCAUUGUGGGUAUGGGAGGGCUUGGAAAGACAACUUUGGCUAAAUCAAUAUAUCAUGAAUCUGAGAUAAGUAGGCAUUUUGAGAAAAAGAUGUGGAUAUGUGUAUCUACCCUUUUUGAAGUCAAUUCAAUUCUGAGAGGGAUAUUGGAAUAUCUUAAACCAGAAAAUGCUGCGGUAAAAGGUAUAGAUGCAAUAUGUAACAUUCUUCAAGAAGAGUUGAAAGGAAAGAGAUACCUUCUUAUACUUGAUGAUGUAUGGAAUGAAGAUGUGGAAAAAUGGAAUGAUUUGAAGAGUUGUUUGGUAAGAAUUACCGAUGCCCAAAGAAGCAGCAUUAUUGUCACGACUCGCAGUGACAAAGUUGCAAAAACGGUGGAAACCCUUCCUAGGUGUGAUUUGAGAAAACUAUCGGAUGAUGAGUGUUGGCUUAUAUUGAAGAAUAAAGCAGUUCCAGUCGGAAGUGUUCCUAUACUUGAAGAUCAAGAGACAAUUGGAAGGGAGAUUGCCAAAAAGUGUGGAGGUAUACCAUUAGUGGCAAAGGUAUUAGGAAACAUUAUGUGCUCUAAAACAAGCAAUGAAUGGAGUUCAAUUAUGGAAAGUAAAAUGUGGGAUUUACCGAAAGAAGAAGAAAGAAUCAUGUCAAUUUUAAAGUUGAGUUUUGAUGAAUUGAAAUUUUCAUCAUUGAAACAAUGUUUUGCAUAUUGCUCGGAAUUCAUCAAAGACACUGUAAUGGAAAAGGAUGACUUAGUCCAACUUUGGAUGUCUCAAGGAUGGCUUCACCCCACCAAAAGUAAUAUGGAGAUGGAGGAUAGAGGGAACGAAUAUUUUAACAUUUUAUCAGAAAAAUCCCUUUUUGAAGACGUUAGAACUGAUUAUAAGGGUGAUACAACAUGCAAGAUGCACGAUCUUGUGCAUGACCUUGCAGAACGAGUAUCAAACAUGACAAACUGCCGCUCACUAUUUUCCAAGGGAGAAGCACUUUGGAACACCUUGCCUAACUUUAGAUCUUUACGUGUGUUAAAUUUAUACAAGGCAGACAUUGACAAGUUGCCGAGUUCAAUUGGAAAGUUGACACACUUGAGGUAUCUGAAUGUUAUGAAAACAAGAGUGAAGGCAUUUCCGAAAUCUAUUGGUCAACUUUAUUACCUUCAGACGUUUAAAAUGCCCUAUCAUGUUGAAGAGUUCCCAAAGAUGAUAGCUAAUAUGAUCAACUUGAGACAUGUUUAUUUUGGUAAACAUGCGAAAGUUCCUGUUGCCAUAUUGGGAAGAUUGACGAAUCUCAGAUCAUUACCUUUUUUGAAGGUGGGUAAGGAAACUGGGCCUAGGAUUGAGGAAAUGGGUGGGUUAAACCAUUUGAGAGGCACCUUAUCCAUCUAUAAUCUGGAGCAUGUAAGAGAUGGAGAAGAAGCAAUGAAUGCAAAGUUAGUUGAUAAGAAACAUAUACGCAAGUUAACUCUCGACUGGAAGCUUAGUAGACCAAGCAACAAUGUUGACAAUGAGGAUGAUGUACUUGAAGGUCUGCGACCACAUUGUAAUUUGGAAAUUUUGAAGAUUCAGGGGUUUAUGGGUGUUAAGUUUCCAUCAUGGUUAUUGCUUGCCAGCAACUUGAAAGAAAUUGAAUUAGCAGGGUGCAACAAAUGCGAAGGAUUUCCAAUAUUGGGCCAUCUGCCCAAUCUUAUACAUGUUAAGAUGGAGGACAUGCAGAACCUAAGAUGCUUGGGGUCUAAGUUUUAUGGUUAUGAUCAGAUUUCAGGUGCAACAACAAGUGACGGGAGAAAGACUUUGUUUCCUGUUUUGAGAUCAUUACAUAUUGAGAAUGCCGAGAAUCUAAUAGAUUGGAUGGAAGCAGGGGACGUGAUGCUGAUGGCUGGAAAAUUAAGGGUGUUUCCUUACCUUGAGGAGCUGCACGUGCUACGAUGUAAGCAAUUGAGAAGUGCUCCCAGUCAUUUUCCAUCUCUCAAGAUGUUGGUGAUACGAGGAGUGGAAAGUGGUUUGCCUAUAGCAAAUAUUUUAAGCAAUAAACUGACUACUCUCACUUAUCUCUCAGUACAUGAUGUCGAGGGACUUACUAGUCUUCCGGAAGGGACGUUAAGAAACAACAAGAGUCUUGAAUGUUUGCGUAUAUGCAACUGUUCGGAGUUAAACUGCAUUUCUCCCCAUGGAUUUGACUACUGCGCAUCUCUUCAGUUACUGAGAAUUUGGAAGUGUCCUAAGUUGAGGUAUUUAUCUGAUGGGCUACUCCCACUCUCUCUCAAGGAGUUGGACAUACAAGAUUGCUCUGGUCUAGAGUCUAUCCCAAUCAUCCCUGAGCAAGGCGGUCUCCCAUCUCUGCGCAAAUUGAUUAUAACCAAGUGUUCUCAGUUAUCCAGUUUACCUGAUGGGCUACAAUACUGCACAUCUCUUCAACAAUUGGUAAUAGACAGCUGCCCAAAGAUAACGUCUAUUCCAGUCCAAUACUGCACAUCUCUUCAACUACUGGAGAUACGGAGAUGCCCAAAAAUAACGUUCAUUCCAGCUCAAUACUGCACAUCACUUCAAGACCUGGACAUACUGAGCUGCCCAAAGAUAAUGUCCAUUCCAAUUCCAUCUGAGGGCCUCCCAAAUCUUCGUGGACUGCAGCUUUGGCAGUGUCCUGAAUUAUCAGGCCUACCUAGUGGACUAGGCUGCUGCCCCUCUCUUAUUGAUUUGUCAAUAACAGAGUGCCCUAAGGUUACAUCCAUUCCAAUUAACAGUCUCAGUACAAACCUCCGAAGCUUGUGUGUAGAUAAUCCAGAGUCUCUUCCAAUUUUAUACGACGGCUUCACAUCCCUCCGUCGAUUGGAAAUUGAAGGAUGUCAAAGUACACAAAUUGAUCAUCCAAUCCUCGUCUCUCUUGAGGAGUUGAGAAUAAGACGGUGUCCUAAUCUAGAGACUGUUCCGAGUUUUGACAAGCUCACAUCCCUCCGUGAGUUGUGGAUUAGUGAUUGUUCCCGAUUGACAUGUCUACCCAGUGGGUUAGCAAUGGCAUCCCCACACGUAUUCACCCGUCUCAAGCAAUUGACACUUGGUCGGUUUUGGAAUGAGCUGGAUUCAUUCCCGGCUCUUCAGGUUCUACCACAACUUGAAACAUUGACGAUCUUCGGGUGGCCGAAGCUCAAGUCUCUGCCUGAACAAGUUCAACACAUGACGUCUUUGACCGAAUUGCGGAUAGAUUCCUUUGAGGGAGUGGAGGCUAUUCCAGAAUGGUUGGGAAACCUUGCAUCUCUUCACUCCUUAUAUAUUUUCCGUUGCAAGAAUCUGAUGUAUCUACCUUCCGUCCAAGCUAUGCAACGCCUCACCAAAUUAGAUUGGCUACGUAUCUACAAUUGUCCCCUUUUGAGCGAAAGAUGCACCGCGGAGAGCGGCCCAGAGUGGCCUAAGAUUUCUCAUCUUCCAUCCAUCUCUGUUGAUCAAGGACAGGUUAUUUCAUAAACUGUUGAAGCUAUGCGAUACAUCAAUCAGGAAUAAGCAGUGCCUACGGGGAGUAUCUCAAUUAGGAAUUGCUUCAAGUUUCACUUCAACUUGCUUACUGCGUCUGGUGUGCUGUAUUUACAGGAGCAUCUACAAUUUUAUCUAUGUGACACACCAGCUGCAAGAUUAAUAUGUGCCUAUGGAUAUGUGUCCAGUUGCAGAAGAUUACUUCUGUUCUAGCUCUAAGGGUUCAGGGGCAAGCAUUCUUUGUUUCUUGAACUUUUGCGUUGAAACA